UGAAGGCAUGAACAGAAUAAAGUGGUAAAAUGUCCUUUAUUUGGAGACAGGUUAAUAACUCCAAAACCUCAUUGCUACAUCGAAUUUAAUGGAUAAAUACACUUCUUGCAAGGAUUUUAAUUUUUCUGAUUUUCUGAGGAAUAAGGACACUGUUGUAUAUCGAUCAUAGUCUUAUCCGCUUAGAUUGGUUGAAUAUGCACGUUCCUUGACCUCUAGAAAGUAGACUGUCUGACUCAUCGGAAUAUUUUUGACAUUUUUGUCGCAGUGACCACAAGUGCAAAGAUUAGAAAGGCAAAGAACAAUGUUAUCACUGAAUUAACCGGUGAUAGGCCAAAUUUCAGACUUUUUUUAAACUUCGUCAAAUUGGAUCAAGAGCGAGUAAAGAAUUUUCUUAAAAUAGUCAUGCCCGUCAAAAAAGUUGGAGCACCCGGCAUUGCAACCAGUUACAAAAUAUCUUAAAUGAUGAUGGUGGCAAUGACUUUGUUUUUUAGAGGACGAUUGCAAAAUAUGGUAACGAAGGGGGGGGGGUGCUGUUUGAGUUGCCCGGCUCUGGGCUUGGAAAACGUAACUGGGUAGCGAGUUACAAAGUUACUGGUGUCAGUUCGAGUCCUGCCCGGGUUGUGUCACGCACUCACCUUCUUUUGCAAUCGUCCUCUAAAAACAAAGCUAAAUCCUGUUCUUUAAAUCAUCUCUCUUUCCUAGAGCUCUUAUCAAAAAGUGCAAAAAGCUACUAGAAUAACAUGCUUUAAAGAGAAAAGUUAUCAUUCGAAGCCAAUUUCCAAAAAUCCAAGAUCUCUUUCCUUGAAAGAAUCGCUUAACCAGAGUGUGCUAAAUUUACCUUUGACACCUCAAAAGGCUACUUUUAUUUUAUCGUUAUUGACUCAAAUACAAGCAGAACACCUAAAAACACCACAACCACGUAGCUGUAGAUGUCGGCUAGGGUGGGCAAACUAGAGCAAGAGCGAUACCUGAGGGGGGCAGGCUUUAAAACAAGAAAACAGAUAUAUAACAAACAGGUAUAUUUGGACUAAAUUAAGCUCACGGAAUUAUAAUUGUGCCAAAUUUUCAAAAUAUCAUUCGGAAAAACUGUAGCCAGAGGGGGCAAGUCGUUAUAAAAAAUUCACAGCCCCCCGUGCCCCUCCUGCAGCUACGUGGCUGACACAAGCAAACGCCGGAAACCAUAUUCGAAAAGCUUAUAGAACCAACUAAAAACAUAAAUUUGUCAUGACGAAUGAUGUCAAAAUAAUAAAUUAUAUAAAGCUCUCGCCGAAUAAAUCCCAAUUUACAAAGAAAACCAUUCUGUUGAGCCAUAACCCAAAACCCCCUCCACUGUUAUCUUCGAUUUUAAAUUAAAAUUUAAUUAUUUCCUUCUUUCCCUUUCCUCCUUGCCUAUAUUUGCUUAUUAUAACUGGCAUUUUUCACGUUUUUUCGAUAAAAAUUAGCUUAAAACUGAAUGCUUUAUUUGAGUAAACUGCCCUACGGAAAUACAAUAUUUCAGAUGGAAAACAUAAAUAUUGUUGGCAAGGCUCGAGCAUAACCCUACAUCAGCUAUGCACAAAACGUUGUAACAAUUUUAAUUUUUUCAUAUUAAUACUUGGUCGUUUUUUUCUAUAUUUAUUUGAUUUAUUGCCUCAUUCGACAUGCUGACAGUUAUUGAUCUUCCAUUUGUAUUGAGCCUCGCUUGCGUUUAGUGAAUAAUGGCGGGAAAUCCCUGAUAGCGACACCAAACGACAAAAUUCAAUGGCUGACACAGAAAGUAAAGGCACAGAUCUCUAUUCUGUUGUUGGGAAUGUCGCAAGAACCUGAGUGUAAAUAACUUCUGAUUGUGGAAAAAGAGUCUGAAAUUUACUAAAAGUUUCUUGAAUUCAAGGUUUGAUAUUUGUUCGCGAGAGUUGUAUAAAAUAUGAACCUGAUUCGCCAGACGAAGUUAUUGCAGCACCAUCAAUUAAAAUAAGGCGCAUAUGCGGCUCAUAGUCGGAACAUGGAUGAAAUUUAAAAAAUAGAAGAAUGCAGGAUCCGUCGAAUGCCACCUGUCUUGAUACUCUUGCAAUGAAGCCCUGAAAUUAUUGAAUGAAAUUAUUAAAAUUGUGUGGUAUGUAUUGGUUUUAUUAUAUCAAGAUUUCUAAUUCAAGUGUUUUGAGAUCACAGAUUGUUUUAAGUAAUUCUAGCUUUAUUAACUUGUUCCUAGCUUUAUUUAGAAUUAACAUGAAGAAAGCUGGCAAGGAAGGGCUAAGACAUUCUUAGUACUCAAAUUUGACAGUUAGUUUUAACCCUAAGAUGUCAUGUCAAGAAUUUCACGAGUAAAAAUUCAGAACAUCAGAAACAGAGUCAGGAAAACAUCACGGUCCUGCGGCCACUGGCCGGAGGAAGGUUGUAGGAACAAAAAGCAAUCGAGGAAGGUGACAAAAGAUUUUGGAAAUUUGAGGAAGUUGAAAAAACGUAUUGCUUCUUGUUUUUCAAAAUACAGUCAGACCAAAAUUAAAAAAAAACCAAGUAGUAUAUAUAUAUAAAUAAACUUCCUGUCUUUUUCAUAUGUCUGUGUUUGCAGAACUGCUUAGCUCCGUAAAAUUAGGCAUUAGCUCCUAAUAUUUAUAUAUUUAGUUUAUGACACGCUUUGUUUGAGUUAUUUGUUUUUUAAUUGACAUAUUCACGGAACUUAACAUUUGCCUCAAAAAUAUCUAUAAUUGAAAACAAGCUACAAUUUUAAAAAUGUUUUGGAAAAGCAGAGUUCAAGGAGAGUGGAUCAAGUCUGGCUGAUUGCCCCAAUUUUCUGUCCAAGCCCAUUUUCAACCCAUUCAAAAUGAGGAAGGUUUUAUAGUAAAAUAUUUUUGGCUGGAGGAAGGUUGACAACUUUUCUGGACUCUGAGUAGAAAACGAUUUGUGUUGUGUAGAUCGCCUUAUUUGGAACCUUGUCUUGCUUUUCUGCAUAGCUGCUUUGUUGAGAGGUUUGUGAUGGCAGCUAGAUUGUGAUGCUCGAGAUUGUGUUUUGUUCAGUUAAUGGAUUCAUUUUUGUGAAACGUUUCAUCUAUUCCAUUGUUUUCUUAUUAUUUUUUUGCAUUUGUGUUUUUACAAAACAGAUCCAUUAAAUGUUUUCUGCCUACAAUCUCUUCCAAAAGUCUAUCAGUUUCUAAAAAACAAUUUUAACACUCAUCUCAAUUGUAACAAUGUUGGUUUACUAUAAAAAAAAGCAGGAGAAUAUAGAGUACAUUAAGACUACCAACAUUGUUCUAAGGAGGGAAAGGGUAUGAAGAAAGCCGGCAUUGUGCUUUAGCACAGUCUGCGCAAGUGCUUUUCAUCCAGCAAUCUGUGUGAAAGAAUAUAUUUAUAAGAAUGGUAAGUUUGAAAUUUUUCUCCUUUUGACCAAUUUGGUUCACUUUGUAUUUUGAGAGUGGCCAAUGACCGGAUCACAUUUUAUUUGAGCAUUCCGGUCCCUUUGUGGCAUAGGCGUACGGGGUGAAUUCAGGUAAGGGGGGGGGCUGAAAUAUUUUUUUCAAAAAGUAAUAAUGCCCAAAUUUUUACGGAGUAUGCUCUAACACGUGUAAGCUUCUAUCAUUAGUCAGGAAAUUAUUAAAUUGCAACGACAUGAAAAUAAUGUAAACUAAUAAGCAUUUUUAAAACUUCACACAUUUUCACAAAAAAGCGAAUCUCUUCCACGACAGCGUCCAAAUUUAUCGAUUAUUUCAUCGAUAUCUUUGUGAACAUGAUUUGCAUCAUUUUCAGCAAUUUACACACUUUUUGCUUACCGGCCUAUUCUUGUGAUCAUUGAACAAUUUGCGCUCUAUUUCAAGGAAGUCAGAAACUCUAUUUGGUAGAAGGAGCAAACCUUUUCGAUGAUUUCUGUCGAAGGGUUAGCAUUCAUGCUUGCAUUCCCUAAUCACGGGCCAGUGGCGUAACGCAGUUCAGGGCACCUUGAUUCAGCGUUUUUCAACCUUCUCUAUCCACGGCACGUUAUUUGCAGAUAGUUAUUAUUUUUUUUUUCAAUUUUAUUGACCAAUUUAGUGAAAUUGGAGAAUUUUCCACGGCACACUAGGCAAUAACUCAAGGCACGCUAGUGUGUCAUGACACAGUGGUUGGAAACAUUGCCUUAGUUUUAUAACCAAGGGCUCCUGACCAAAAGGGGCCUAAUGUGCUUUUAAGUCCUUAUCUUGAAAGCUUUGCUCAAGUUCAAAUAACUUUUGAAAACUUUUAAAGUUCUUAAACUGAAGCUCUAAAACUCAGUUCCCCUUAGCUAACGAUAAAAUAAUUCUCAUUUCUAUCUUGUGUUUGACAUGCUUUACACCAUUUAAUGUGAUCUUCUUGAUGUCCGUGAAUAAAACUCCCGUAGCAGUUUUUUGUGCCAAAGCAUAUAAAAUGCGAUAGUCACUAUCACUAAAUCGCGCAUAGAUUUCUUCCUAAACUUUAUCCAUUACAUUACACGGUAUCCAUAUCCAUUACAUUACCAUUUCUUCCUAAAAAUUUUUACAAAGCUUUGCUUUCCAGAUGGGUUUUUGGGUCUUUACCCUGCAAAGAAAAUAAGU